UACGGAGGAUGCAAGCGUUAUCCGGAAUUAUUGGGCGUAAAGCGUCCGCAGGUGGUUUAUCAAGUCUGCUGUCAAAGCGCGAGGCUUAACUUCGUACAGGCAGUGGAAACUGAUGAACUAGAGUGUGAUAGGGGCAGAGGGAAUUCCCAGUGUAGCGGUGAAAUGCGUAGAGAUUGGGAAGAACACCGGUGGCGAAAGCGCUCUGCUGGGUCAUGACUGACACUGAGGGACGAAAGCUAGGGGAGCGAAAGGG
rnacentral:rRNA from 1 species